GCAAUUUUAAGAAAGGUCUCGAUCAAAUAUACAGUAACUUGUGACAAAUUCUUGUGUUUUUAACACUUUCGCUUCUUUCAAUUGGUUCUUGAAUUCACGAGGUUACAAGUUUGUAAACGGUCCAAAACAUGCGAGUCGUGAUGGAUCUAACAAAGCAACAUUUGUUAUUGUAAUCUCAUUGGUUGCUUGGAAAAAAAUCAAAUGGAAACUUAACAUUUUGAAUAAAUCCCGAAUCUUUCUCUCCUAUUGACGUCAAACAAGAUCAUACAACAAAG
rnacentral:lncRNA from 1 species